AAAGGCGUAAAAAUAUUCCGAUAAAUACUAUCAAUAGAUAUAAAUUCAAAGAAUUUGGCGGUGUCUUAUAUACUCAGGGGAACCUGUUACUUAAUUCGAUAAUCCACGCAAUUCAAUCCAUUUUUAGACACUCUCAGCCUGUGUACUGCUGUCGCAAGUAAACCUCUAAAAGCAAGUUUACAACAAUAACUAACAUUAUAUACGUCAAGUCAAAGUGCAGCCAAUAAAAUGGAGUAAAUGGGUUACAAUCUAUAUAUAGAGUACAGAAUUGAGGAAUAAAACAUCAAUCAAGGUGGACUUGAUAGUAAUAGACACACAAAAUUUCUAUAAACAAAUUAUCU
rnacentral:rRNA from 1 species